rnacentral:rRNA from 2 species
UCUCCUGGAAACGGGUGGUAAUGCCGGAUGUUCCAGUUGAUCGCAUGGUCUUCUGGGAAAGCUUUCGCGGUAUGGGAUGGGGUCGCGUCCUAUCAGCUUGACGGCGGGGUAACGGCCCACCGUGGCUUCGACGGGUAGCCGGCCUGAGAGGGCGACCGGCCACAUUGGGACUGAGAUACGGCCCAGACUCCUACGGGAGGCAGCAGUGGGGAAUAUUGCACAAUGGGCGCAAGCCUGAUGCAGCGACGCCGCGUGAGGGAUGGAGGCCUUCGGGUUGUAAACCUCUUUUAUCGGGGAGCAAGCGAGAGUGAGUUUACCCGUUGAAUAAGCACCGGCUAACUACGUGCCAGCAGCCGCGGUAAUACGUAGGGUGCAAGCGUUAUCCGGAAUUAUUGGGCGUAAAGGGCUCGUAGGCGGUUCGUCGCGUCCGGUGUGAAAGUCCAUCGCUUAACGGUGGAUCCGCGCCGGGUACGGGCGGGCUUGAGUGCGGUAGGGGAGACUGGAAUUCCCGGUGUAACGGUGGAAUGUGUAGAUAUC